UACGAAGGGGGCUAGCGUUGUUCGGAAUUACUGGGCGUAAAGCGCACGUAGGCGGAUAUUUAAGUCAGGUGUGAAAUCCCAGAGCUCAACUCUGGAACUGCCUUUGAUACUGGGUAUCUCGAGUAUGGAAGAGGUGAGUGGAAUUCCGAGUGUAGAGGUGAAAUUCGUAGAUAUUCGGAGGAACACCAGUGGCGAAGGCGGCUCACUGGUCCAUUACUGACGCUGAGGUGCGAAAGCGUGGGGAGCAAACAGG
rnacentral:rRNA from 1 species